rnacentral:ncRNA from 1 species
CUCUUCAGGGCAGGGUGCGAUUCCCUACCGGCGGUAAAGCCCGCGAGCCGUAAGGCAUGAUCCGGUGAGAUUCCGGGGCCGACAGUAUAGUCUGGAUGAAAGAAGAA